UGCGGAGUGCAUAAGUAUUCAUUUGUGGGUGCCUUGCGGUGCACCCAAUAGCAGGUGCCGAACCCGCCUCCGUGG
rnacentral:tRNA from 1 species